UUCCCUAUAGUCUAGUUGGUUAGGAUAACCCGCUUUCACCGGGUCGACCUGGGUUCGAGUCCCAGUGGGGAAA
rnacentral:tRNA from 1 species